rfam:Manacus vitellinus contig18203, whole genome shotgun sequence.
CCCCUGGUGGUCUAGUGGUUAGGAUGCGGCGCUUUCACCGCCGCAGGCUGGGUUCGAUUCCCGGUCAGGGAA